rnacentral:rRNA from 1 species
AUGAACGCUGGCGGCGUGCCUAAUACAUGCCAGUCGAGCGAACAGACGAGGAGCUUGCUCCUCUGACGUUAGCGGCGGACGGGUGAGUAACACGUGGAUAACCUACCUAUAAGACUGGGAUAACUUCGGGAAACCGGAGCUAAUACCGGAUAAUAUAUUGAACCGCAUGGUUCAAUAGUGAAAGACGGUUUUGCUGUCACUUAUAGCUGGAUCCGCGCCGCAUUAGCUAGUUGGUAAGGUAACGGCUUACCAAGGCAACGAUGCGUAGCCGACCUGAGAGGGUGAUCGGCCACACUGGAACUGAGACACGGUCCAGACUCCUACGGGAGGCAGCAGUAGGGAAUCUUCCGCAAUGGGCGAAAGCCUGACGGAGCAACGCCGCGUGAGUGAUGAAGGUAUUCGGAUCGUAAAACUCUGUUAUUAGGGAAGAACAAAUGUGUAAGUAACUAUGCACGUCUUGACGGUACCUAAUCAGAAAGACACGGCUAACUACGUG